GAUGAACGCUGGCGGCGUGCCUAAUACAUGCAAGUCGAGCGAACAGAUAAGGAGCUUGCUCCUUUGACGUUAGCGGCGGACGGGUGAGUAACACGUGGGUAACCUACCUAUAAGACUGGGAUAACUUCGGGAAACCGGAGCUAAUACCGGAUAAUAUUUCGAACCGCAUGGUUCGAUAGUGAAAGAUGGUUUUGCUAUCACUGAUAGAUGGACCCGCGCCGUAUUAGCUAGUUGGUAAGGUAACGGCUUACCAAGGCGACGAUACGUAGCCGACCUGAGAGGGUGAUCGGCCACACUGGAACUGAGACACGGUCCAGACUCCUACAGGAGGCAGCAGUAGGGAAUCUUCCGCAAUGGGCGAAAGCCUGACGGAGCAACGCCGCGUGAGUGAUGAAGGUCUUCGGAUCGUAAAACUCUGUUAUUAGGGAAGAACAUACGUGUAAGUAACUGUGCACGUCUUGACGGUACCUAAUCAGAAAGCCACGGCUAACUACGUG
rnacentral:rRNA from 1 species